AACGCACAUUGCGCCCUCUGGUAUUCCGGGGGGCAUGCCUGUCCGAGCGUCAUUGCAUCAAUCAAGCCCGGCUUGUGUGAUGGGUCUUCUUUCGUCCCGAAUGGGGGACGGGCCCGAAAUGCAGUGGCGGCGUCGUGGUUAUCCAACGGCCUGAGUGUAUGGGGCUCUGUCACACGCUCACCAGCCAGGACCGGCGCCGGCCUCGAACCAAUCUAUCUUCUUAGGUUGACCUCGGAUCAGGUAGGGAUACCCGCUGAACUUAA
rnacentral:misc_RNA from 1 species